rnacentral:rRNA from 1 species
AUUGAACGCUGGCGGCAUGCCUUACACAUGCAAGUCGAACGGCAGCACGGGUGCUUGCACCUGGUGGCGAGUGGCGAACGGGUGAGUAAUACAUCGGAACAUGUCCUGUAGUGGGGGAUAGCCCGGCGAAAGCCGGAUUAAUACCGCAUACGAUCUACGGAUGAAAGCGGGGGACCUUCGGGCCUCGCGCUAUAGGGUUGGCCGAUGGCUGAUUAGCUAGUUGGUGGGGUAAAGGCCCACCAAGGCGACGAUCAGUAGCUGGUCUGAGAGGACGACCAGCCACACUGGGACUGAGACACGGCCCAGACUCCUACGGGAGGCAGCAGUGGGGAAUUUUGGACAAUGGGCGAAAGCCUGAUCCAGCAAUGCCGCGUGUGUGAAGAAGGCCUUCGGGUUGUAAAGCACUUUUGUCCGGAAAGAAAACCUUGGCCCUAAUACGGUCGGGGGAUGACGGUACCGGAAGAAUAAGCACCGGCUAACUACGUG